GAUGAACGCUGGCGGCGUGCCUAAUACAUGCAAGUCGAGCGAAUGGAUUGAGAGCUUGCUCUCAAGAAGUUAGCGGCGGACGGGUGAGUAACACGUGGGUAACCUGCCCAUAAGACUGGGAUAACUCCGGGAAACCGGGGCUAAUACCGGAUAACAUUUUGAACCGCAUGGUUCGAAAUUUAAAGGCGGCUUCGGCUGUCAAUUAUGGAUGGACCCACUUCGCGUUAGCUAGUUGGUGAGGUAACGGCUCACCAAGGCAACGAUGCGUAGCCGACCUGAGGGGGUGAUCGGCCACACUGGGACUGAGACACGGCCCAGACUCCUACGGGAGGCAGCAGUGGGGAAUCUUCCGCAAUGGACGAAAGUCUGACGGGGCAACGCCGCGUGAGCGAUGAAGGCCUUCGGGUCGUAAAGCUCUGUUGUCAGGGAAGAACAAGUAUCGGAGUAACUGCCGGUACCUUGACGGUACCUGACCAGAAAGCCACGGCUAACUACGUGCCAGCCGCCGCGGUAACAC
rnacentral:rRNA from 1 species